GUGAGGAAUUUUCCGCAAUGGGCGAAAGCCUGACGGAGCAAUGCCGCGUGAAGGAUGAAGGCCUAUGGGUUGUAAACUUCUUUUCUCAGAAAAGAAUUAUGACGGUAUCUGAGGAAUAAGCAUCGGCUAACUCUGUGCCAGCAGCCGCGGUAAGACAGAGGAUGCAAGCGUUAUCCGGAAUGAUUGGGCGUAAAGCGUCGGUAGGUUGUUUAAAAAGUAUUCUGUCAAAGAUUAGGGCUUAACCCUAGAUAGGCAGAAUAAACUUUUAAGCUAGAGUUUGGUAGAGGCAGAGGGAAUUCCCGGUGGAGCGGUGAAAUGCGUAGAUAUCGGGAGGAACACCAAAGGCGAAGGCACUCUGCUGGGCCAAUACUAACACUGAGAGACGAAAGCGAGGGGAGCAAAUGGGAUUAGAAACCCCUGUAGUCC
rnacentral:rRNA from 1 species